CAGCUGUUGAGUUUUAGACAUAUUGCCAGGACAACCUGCAACUGCAGUUGUGCACUGCUGGUAUUUCAAAGUAUUUAAAUGUAAAAUAGAUGGAAAAUUGGUUAUGGAAAUUAUUUCAAUGUGAAAUAUGGUGAUUUAUUGGGAUAAACUGCAAAAUAAAGACCAGGCAGUGUUAUAAGAAUGGAGAAUAUCACAUUCGUUACAGCCACAAUUAGUGAUUACAAGUGUUCUACCAUGAAUAUUUUUGGGGGAAGCAGGACACAGGGGCAUUCCCCACUCCUCCAUGUCUUUGCUCACUUUUAGACACAGAGCAGCUUCUCCAGGAAGCCACUAUGGUGCUCUCUUCAGCCUCACUCCACAAUGGCUCUGUUGCCUUUUGGAUUAAUUUAUACGGAAGUAGGCUUCAGUCUACCCAAGAAGCAGUUUAUUCAAUACAGUCUCCUUCCUCAGUGAUGAUUUGGCCAUUGCACUAAAUAAUACUCUGUUAGCCAGCUUUAGGCUCCCCCAUUUUUUCCAGAUCAAGCUGUCUGGCAUAUUUGGCCCAUGUUUGUAAUGAGUUGGAAACUCCCUAAUCUGCUUGGAUUUGGCAAGCAUAUUAUUUAUCAGAAAUAUCCUGUGGUAUACUAGUUUUUCUAUCAAUGGGGGGAACAAGAUCCGGAAGCACUAACUCCAUUCAUAGAUUAAUAGACGUCUUCCAAGAAAAGCAUCAGUAUCAGAAUAGAGAACAUGAACAUGUGAAGAAGGGCUGAUAUUUGUGAGAGCUGACGUUAUACUGUGAGACAGCAAAUUUAUAACUGCAAAGUAUCCGAAAGCCCUAGUGGGAAAGCAUUUCAAUUAACAUACAUGGCUGAGUAACAUACAGUGCUGAGAUUAAUGUAAAUUAGGAAACCUGCUCAUUUCUGAACAGUUAAUCUGCCUUAAACAAGAAAACAUGUAGUUGAGUCCUAGAGAUGGAAAGUCAAAUUUCUCCCUUUGUGACACAAAUUCCCAUUGAUUUCAUCAUAUUGCAAAUCAAUAACAAAGAGGAGAACUUCACUGUAGGAAUGCAGCUUUUUGAGAUAUUUUCCUUGUUAAGGGUAGAUUAGCAGGUCAAAAAGCAGAGCUAUGUUUUGAUCUUCAUAUUUUUAGCUGACUUUUUAUGUGUUAAUCGGACUGCUGUUCGUUACUGUAAGUCCCUUGGGUGUUACCUUGACUUACUCUGUUCUUUAAACCCUUUUUAAAACUUCAGUAAAAUCUUGGAACAUUUACUGUACUACAGCCACAGUGGGGGUUGUUUGCUCGGACAGGUAGGCUUUCAGCUAAGUGUUCAUUCAUGGAACUGAAUUAAGCAAGUUUUAAGAUCAAAUUCAAUCAUCUAGUUUGAAGACCUGCAGCAGGAGCACCCAGGGUGCUCUGCUCCCACUCACCCCCUGCUUGUCACAGCCUGGAGCCCAAAUAUUUUUUCCCAUUUAUGUCCCAGAUCCUGAAAUCAACUCAGACCUCUUACAGGUGAUCAUUUGCUGGGUUAUGUACUCAUAUUGCCAUAGCUCUAGAUAAAGGUUUUUUGAUUCCAGCAAAGCUGUGGGUCAGCUUGGAGGUCACGUACUUGGAGGACCCCUGCACCCUAUUUCUGAGCAGGCUUAGUUUUCACACACAUUGUGUCAUUAGCUGCUAUCACAUGAAUAUUGACUAGGUUUCAGAUGUAAAUAUUAUUUUGUUUUGAUUUUUAUGCCCAUAAAUGCAUAGGAUGCGAACCACAGAGAGGGCUGCAGCUUGCCCAGGUCCAUGGCAUGGCAUGUGCUGGUCUCGGGGAUACAUCUUAGCCCUGCUGCUGCUCUGACCCAACAGCAGCUUUGUUACAAUGCUCUCAGGACAAUAUUUUAAGAUCCCAUGAAAUGGGAUGCAGAAGAUCAGCCUUUAAGAUUUAGUCAUAAAGUGCUCUUUUGAGGACAAAGACUUCAGUAACAGGAGUCUUUUCCCCCAAAAUUACUGUUUACAUUGACAGAUAGUUUACAAGAGGAUUACUGUUCUCGGUAGCUUGCUUGUGUUUGCUGUUCCUAUAUCUGAUCUGGAAGUGCUCUUGCAUAUUUGGGAUUGGUAGUGUUUUGUCUAGAAGAAGUAAGUUUCAGGCAAAGGAAUGAGAUGAAAAAUUGCUUUGUUCUUUGCUUCCUUCAGGCUCUCAGCUGACAGUAUGUGUUGUCAGAUAGAAAUAAAAGUGCGGUGUUACAAUUUUCUGUCUGUGGUAUGUAUGUCUUAAUGUAUACCAUAUGGCUGGGGGGCAAUGCACCAGAUUUUUUCUCAUGAGUGAUUUUUUCUUGCUAGAGUUAAAAGCAGUAAUAUGGAAAUGAAUGAGCAAAAUAAUUUGCUUUCCCUCUGGGCUUGUUGGCUGUGAUUAUUCUUGCUUAUUUUGGUGUGUAAAGUUUUGUAUGUAGCUUUUGUUUCCUGAAAGUUUUGCUGCUCUUCAUGUUUGCUAGCUUGUAACGUGUUUUCUGAGGAGUUUUCUUUUUCAUGGAUACCAUUCUGCUUUUAGUGGGCAGAGAUUCAGACUGAUGGGCAUGCUGCCCUUCUCUUUAGUAGCUGUUUAGUGAAACACUCUCAACAUUAUAAUCCGUUGCUGAUCAGUGCGGGAGAUGUAGUAUGAAGUUGCCAGGAGUGGGACUAUUGAAUUAUUGAAGAUAGAACAGGAGGCAAAGUAAACGAUUGUCCAUUUCACAAGGAAAAGGGAACAACUGCCAGACUUUGCAGUGAUCAAGUUCCAGUUUUCUGUUGUUAAAGAUAAAAAAAAAAAAAAA
ensembl:lncRNA